AUCACUUUGAAUAAUCCAAAAUAGACACAGGAACAAUGGAAAAUCAACAGAAACUUGUGACAUUACUUAUUCAUCUUGUGACUUUUAUUUUUCUGAGGUUGUCAGUUUAGUCAAGGGCUCUCAGGUUCUUUAAAGUGGCCUAACAAUGUCAAAAUCAGGCACCUUUCAAUGAGAAACAGUCUACAAUAAGUGUCUCAAUUCCUUGUUUCCACUGUAUAUCAUAUUUGGGAAGUUUUGCCUGCCUGGGAAGGUAAUGUUUGCAAAUUUAAAACAUGGCCCUUCAAUAUUACUUAGCUGACAUAAACAAAUUAAAAUAAGACCAGCUUAAGCCAGUUGUGUUUAUCAACCUGAUCCCCUUUGAAAAUGAGAGGUGAAGUCAAAUACCCUUUAAUACUAUUUAUUAGUGGAGUAAUAUAAUACAUUUUGACAAGUUGAGCAGCUUUAAUGGGCAGCUGUUAAAGUCUCUACAGGGCCUGUUUAGAAUGAAAGAGCAGUGAGAGACAGUACCAUAACUGGUUCUCCGAACAGCUCAGCCAUCAACUAUAUCCUAACCAAGUACUUUUUAUCCAGCUAAUUUACAGAGUGAAUCCCUCAGGGUCUCCAGCAUCUACACUGCGGCUCAUUAGAACCAACAGCUAACUUUUCUCAUUGUAGCACAGAAAGCAUGUGUGCUUAAAAUAUAAUUAAAUGGAAAACAAACAAGCUCCUUAUUUCCUGACAGUCUCAGUAUUUUUAAAUUGACAAAGGCACGAACUUAUAUGCGAUUGUUUGGAAAGCAGGAUGAAUUUCAGCCACUUAUGGCAAGACAUUUGCCCAACCGUUCAUCCUGCAUGCAAUUAGGACGCUAAAGACUUGGGCUACGAGUUCCUUGUGGGAAUUAAACUUGCAGGUCUCUUACAAACGCAUAAUGUGGUAAGACUUGCUGUCCAAUGAGGUGUCUUAUUGAAAUGUCCCAGGCCGUUUCGCUUGUCACAGCUGUCCUUUCAGCCGCUUGCACUCACAGUGUAUAGCUUUCAUUACGAAAAUAGAAAUUUGUGUCCUAAGUGCCGUUACAUUACUAAUGCUAAAUAUUUAAUUCCCUGGGGUUCCAAUUAUGGUUGAGCGCUGGCAACACUGAUUCCACUCUCUAAUAACAACUGUAAAGGCAAUUGGAGCAUUUUUCAAUUAAUUAAAUACAUAGUGAACGAGUAACCUCUUGUCAUUUUGCCCUCCAGGACCUGAGCUAAUUGCUGUAGAAUAAAAUGUUUUGAAAAUUAACUGAUAUUCUGGGCUGCACACAGUUAUACCAUUAAAUUACAGUUUGCACAGUGAAGUUUGUCUUCUGAUAGUUACACUCCAUGGUCUGCAGCUGUGAGAAGGUACCUGGUAUUAUGGGGCUUAGCAGGGCCUCCAAUUAGGGCCAAGUUGAAAGUCAGCAUGGCCUUUCAGAAUCCAUCAGCAUCAAUGAUAGUUUGCUCUGCUCACAUCACAGAUAAGCGAGAUGGAUUUCCAUAAGGAAAGUUCCCCAGACUUCACAGAGAGCAUUUACUAUCCAGCUUCAACACUCUAAAGUGUGUUCAGAAGGAUCCCUAUCAUAAUUAUAUUCACACACAAAAACUAAAGAUUUCCAUUGCUUUUUUUAUUUUCCCACAUGACAAGGUUGCUAAUUGAAUGUCUGGGAAAGGCCGCCUUUUGAAAUACUUUCUUGCAGUUUCUCGUUUCACCCUAGAACAACAUCAUAAAUAAGCCCCAAAGUGAUGUCUCAGCUGAGAGGAAUGAAUCAUAAAAGCAGACGCCACAUUUAAAAUAAACCUUUUUCUGAAGUACAAUGAAAUUCGAUUAAAGAGCUGGUCUCCUUGCAGCAAACAUCGCUGACAGGUGUUCCUUAGCUCCGGCUCCUCAUUGGUCAUAAUCUGAAAUCCAUGCUGGGAAGCGGAUGCCCCUCGCAGCUGUCUGUCUAGCAGGGAUGAUCCCCUAAACAGGUUUCACUGAAUUAGUCUCUACAGAAGCACUUCGGCUCGGGAAGGAAGGCACUGAAAGUGAAAUUAAUCACUCUGGGAGAGAGGGAAGAAAUAAUAGAGAAAAUUUAAUCAUUUCCAUACCAAUCUUUAGGGUUUAAAUCUUUAAUAUUUCUAAGAUUAUAGUAACA
ensembl:lncRNA